rnacentral:rRNA from 1 species
AGUAGGGAUUUUUCGCCAUGGACGGAAGUCUGACCGAGCACGGCCGCGUGAGGGAAGAGGUUUCGGGAUCGUAAGCUCUGUGUAAGAGAGAAACGAGUGUGAGAGUGAAAGUUUCACACUGUGACGGUAUCUACAGAAAAGGGACGGCUAACUACCUGCCCAGCAGCCGCGGUAAUACGUAGGUCCCGAGCCGUUUGUUCCGGAUUUAUGGGGCGUAAAGCGAGCGCAGGCGGUUAGAUAAGUCUGAAGUUAAAGGCUGUGGCUUAACCAUAGUACGCUUUGGAAACUGUUUAACUUGAGUGCAAGAGGGGAGAGUGGAAUUCCAUGUGUAGCGGUGAAAUGCGUAGAUAUAUGGAGGAACACCGGUGGCGAAAGCGGCUUUCUGGCUUGUAACUGACGCUGAGGCUCGAAAGCGUGGGGAGCAAAACAGGAUUAGAUACCCUGGUAGUCCACGCCGUAAACGAUGAGUGCUAGGUGUUAGACCCUUUCCGGGGUUUAGUGCCGCAGCUAACGCAUUAAGCACUCCGCCUGGGGAGUACGACCGCAAGGUGAAAACUCAAAAGGAAAUUGACGGGAGCCCGCACAAGCGGUGGAGCAUGUGGUUUAAAUUCGAAGCAAACGCGAAGAACCUUACCAGGUCUUGACAUCCCUCUGACCGCUCUAGAGAUAGAGUUUUCCUUCGGGACAGAGGUGACAGGUGGUGCAUGGUUGUCGUCAGCUCGUGUCGUGAGAUGUUGGGUUAAGUCCCGCAACGAGCGCGAACCCCUAUUGUUAGUUGCCAUCAUUCAGUUGGGCGACUCUAGCGAGACUGCCGGUAAUGAAACCGGGGGAAAGGUGGGGAUGACGUCAGAUCAUCGUGCCCCUUAUGACCUGGGCUACGCGACGUGCUACGAAUGGCUGGUACGAACGAGUCGCGAAGCCGGUGACGGCGAAGCUAUCGUCUGAAGCCGGUUCUCGGUUCGGAUUGGAGAGCUGCGGCUCGCCUGCGUGAAAGUCGGAAAUCGCUAGGAAUCGCGGGAUCGGCGCGGCCGCGGUAAAGACGUUUCCCGGGCCAUGGAGCGCCCGCCCGU